rnacentral:rRNA from 1 species
GCUUGUCUCAAAGAUUAAGCCAUGCAUGUCUAAGUAUAAAUAGUAUACAGUGAAACUGCGAAUGGCUCAUUAAAACAGUUAUAGUUUAUUUGAUAAUUGAAAAUUACAUGGAUAACCGUGGUAAUUCUAGAGCUAAUACAUGCUAUCAAGCCCGACUUCUUGAAGGGUUGUAUUUAUUAGAUGGAAACCAAUGCGGGGCAACCCGGAAUAUGGUGAAUCAUAAUAACUGUCGUAUCGAGCAAUCGAAGCGCCAUACAAGUUUCUGCCCUAUCAGCUUUGGAUGGUAGGGUAUUGGCC